ACGUCAAUUUUCAUUUCUGUCAGCUAACCAGCUGAUUACUAAAAUUUUAUUAUAUUGUAUUACAUUAUUACAUCUGUGUAUUACAUACUUAAUAUUUAUGUAAUUUUCCGGCAACAUAUAUCCAGAGAUGCUCAGAAAAGUGGUGUUUGGGUCUGGUUUAGUGGCCCUGGUGCCGACUGUUAGUGCGGCUUCUCCAUCACAAGAGCCCGCGAAACCCCCUCCGAUGAGACCCUCCGACUUGCCUAUAUACGAAGCUCCACACGCAGAUUAUGGAGAUUACAUUCAAUCAAGGAAAAACACUGAAAAGACAAGCUACAUCAGAUCGGCAUUGCAGUCGCCGGUGACAGCGGUCCGUGAGUGUGUGCAGUCUGCCUGUGCACAGACAGAGUCCAUCACCAAUGCUGUGCAGGACAACUAUCACCAAAUACAGGAUAAAUCAGACUGGAUAGUGAAAUAUCUACGCGAGGAAGAGAACAAAGAUGUCCGUUAUGGCGCUGUAGCUAUGGGCGGUCUCACAGGGUUUAUAUUUGGAUUGAGGGGCGGUAUUAUCAGGAGGGUACUGUACGCGGGUAUAGGCACCACAGCUUUGGGAUUCGUUUGUUUCCCAGAUGAAACAAGAGAACUCUUAAAAAACAAUGGGGUGCUAGCCAAACAAUACGUAAAUAUUGCAUAUAACUUCCUUUAUGGAGUGAAACCUGGAGACCCACAGCUUGAGGUGAAAUUCCCUGAGUUGUCUGUGCCUAAAAACUUUUCGGAACUCGCUGACUUGACGGUCUCAUUAGCAUCGUCAGUGAAACAGGCCGUCAUGCCACCACCAGCGAAGGAAUCGACCGAUUCUAAACCUUCAGAUAAGAAGGAUUAGGUACAAUUUUGUAUUAUCUAAUCAAUGACGAAGUAGAUGACAGAGUAUCCAGUAAGUAUACAGCUCCACCAUGAACGAGCGACUACAGAAAUACCGUAUGGGUA